rnacentral:rRNA from 1 species
AUUGAACGCUGGCGGCAGGCCUAACACAUGCAAGUCGAGCGAGCGGCGGACGGGUGAGUAAUGUCUGGGAAACUGCCUGAUGGAGGGGGAUAACUACUGGAAACGGUAGCUAAUACCGCAUACCAUCAGAUGUGCCCAGAUGGGAUUAGCUAGUAGGUGGGGUAACGGCUCACCUAGGCGACGAUCCCUAGCUGGUCUGAGAGGAUGACCAGCCACACGGGAACGGAGACACGGUCCAGACGCCUAGGGGAGGCAGCAGGGGGGAAGAGUGCACAAUGGGCGCAAGCCUGAUGCAGCCAUGCAGCGUGUAUGAAGAAGGCCUGCGGGUUGUAAAGUACUUUCAGCGGGGAGGCGUUACCCGCAGAAGAAGCACCGGCUAACUCCGUGCCAGCAGCCGCGGUAAUUC